rnacentral:rRNA from 1 species
GAUCAUGGCUCAGGAUGAACGCUAGCUACAGGCUUAACACAUGCAAGUCGAGGGGCAGCAUGAGAUUAGCUUGCUAAUCUUGAUGGCGACCGGCGCACGGGUGAGUAACGCGUAUCCAACCUUCCCUUAGUAGGGCAUAGCCCGGCGAAAGUCGGAUUAAUACCCUAUGUUCUUCGUAGAGGACAUCUGAAAUGAAGCAAAGAUUUAUCGCUAAGGGAUGGGGAUGCGUCUGAUUAGGUAGUCGGCGGGGUAACGGCCCACCGAGCCUGCGAUCAGUAGGGGUUCUGAGAGGAAGGUCCCCCACAUUGGAACUGAGACACGGUCCAAACUCCUACGGGAGGCAGCAGUGAGGAAUAUUGGUCAAUGGGCGCGAGCCUGAACCAGCCAAGUAGCGUGCAGGAUGACGGCCCUAUGGGUUGUAAACUGCUUUUAUGCGGGGAUAAAGUGCACCACGUGUGGUGUUUUGUAGGUACCGCAUGAAUAAGGACCGGCUAAUUCCGUGCCAGCAGCGGC